ensembl:snRNA U2 U2 spliceosomal RNA
AUUGCUUCUCAGCCUUUUGGCUAAGAUCAAGUGUAGCAUCUGUUAUAAUCAGUUUAAUAUAAUAUUUUAAGUUAUGAGUUUAUUUGGUGGCAGCCCCAUUGGAAAUCAAGGUGUAUCUGCAUUUUUGGCUUUGGGAGCCAUU